rnacentral:rRNA from 1 species
UACGGGGGGGGCAAGCGUUGUUCGGAAUUACUGGGCGUAAAGGGCGCGUAGGCGGCCUUCUAAGUCAGACGUGAAAUCCCUCGGCUCAACCGAGGAGCUGCGUCUGAUACUGGAAGGCUUGAAUCCGGGAGAGGGAUGUGGAAUUCCAGGUGUAGCGGUGAAAUGCGUAGAUAUCUGGAGGAACACCGGUGGCGAAGGCGGCAUCCUGGACCGGUAUUGACGCUGAGGCGCGAAAGCUAGGGGAGCAAACGGGG